CGAGAUUUUUAGUCUUAACCUCAGACUCGUAGCUGAAGUAUUGGUGGCAAAGGAAGGAAGAAACGAUUAUCAAACCGAAUUUUCUUUCCCUACCUAACCGUUGAAUAGGAGGCUGUCUUCUUAAGAGAGAGAAACAGAGAGAGAGAGAGAGAAAGAGAGGAUGACAACAGCUUCAUUGUGUUCGUCAACUCAGAUCAAUGUUUUUCGAGGGGGUCUUAGACUCCAAAAGACCCAUCUCUAUCAACCCAGUUCGGUCACCCUUACAAGGAGAAAAAUUCAUACUGUAGUGAAGGCAACAGCUCGGGUUGAUAAGUUCUCGAAAAGUGAUGUCAUUGUUUCUCCAUCCAUUCUCUCUGCUAAUUUUUCAAAGCUAGGAGAGCAGGUAAAAGCAGUAGAGUUGGGAGGUUGUGAUUGGAUCCAUGUUGAUGUAAUGGAUGGUCGUUUUGUUCCGAACAUCACCAUUGGGCCUCUUGUGGUUGAUGCUUUGCGGCCAGUGACAGAUCUUCCUUUGGAUGUGCAUUUGAUGAUUGUGGAACCUGAACAAAGAGUGCCAGAUUUUAUCAAGGCUGGAGCUGACGUAGUCAGUGUUCACUGUGAACAAUCCUCCACCAUCCAUUUGCAUCGCACAAUAGAUCAGAUAAAAAGUCUUGGAGCUAAAGCUGGAGUUGUCUUGAACCCUGCUACCCCACUGACUGCCAUAGACUAUGUCCUUGAUGUGGUUGAUCUAGUCUUGAUUAUGUCUGUGAACCCUGGCUUUGGUGGGCAAGGCUUUAUUGAGAGUCAAGUAAAGAAAAUCUCAGAUUUGAGAAGAAUAUGUGCAGAGAAGGGAGUAAAUCCAUGGAUUGAAGUAGAUGGCGGAGUUGGUCCCAAGAAUGCAUAUAAGGUUAUUGAGGCUGGAGCUAAUGCUAUAGUUGCGGGAUCGGCUGUAUUUGGAGCUAAAGAUUAUGCUGAAGCUAUAAGAGGAAUCAAAACCAGCAAAAGGCCAGUAGCUGUACCAGCGUGAUCUAUCACCAGAGAAUGUCAUUUGAUUGACCUGUAUUUUUCAUUCUUAUGUAUGUCACUUUGUCACUUGGCCAGAGUUUCUCAAUUUGAAUUUUGGUUAUUCACACGGUAGAUAAGCAGCUUAUUGCUAGCUUCAUGUUGUUGUCAGAUGUGCCAUCACUUCUUUGAUUGAUUUCUCUGAGGUUACAGAUGAGCUAAUAAGGAAUCAAGUCUGUGGCAAGAGUGCCGCUGGGUAUAUGUUGUGUACCAUAUAUCCUUUAUAGGGAUUCAAUAAUUCGAGCUCAUGUGAAGCUCUUUGUAACGAUCAAUAGUUCCAUUAAUAUUCAAUCAGGACCUUUCUUUUUU